rnacentral:tRNA from 1 species
CGCGGGGUGGAGCAGUUUGGUAGCUCGUCGGGCUCAUAACCCGGAGGUCGUAGGUUCAAAUCCUACCCCCGCUA